AUGGUCAUCUUCCACCUGCCGCAGAAUGCGGUGAUCCCUCUACACAAUCACCCCGGGAUGACGGUGUUCAGCAAGCCGCUCAUCGGGUCCAUGCAUGUAAAGUCGUAUGACUGGGCUGAUCCUGAUUAUCCAGCCGCUUUAUCGCGCGACGAUCAACAACUGAGAUUGGCAGAGCUGGUUGUGGACGAUGUUUUCACGGCGCCCUGCGACACGUCUGUCCUCUACCCGACGGCGGGAGGCAACAUGCACCAGUUCACGGCCAUCGCGCCGUGCGCCAUCCUCGACAUCCUUGGCCCCCCUUACUCCAUAGAGGAGGACCGAGAUUGCACGUACUACGCGGAUGUUCCCUACUCCUCCCAGCAUCCCACUAGCUCGUCACACUGGUGUAACCCAAGGCUAACUGAUUUGUCUCCUCUUCUGCUGACAGUGACCGACAAUGAGCAAGAAGGCCCGCGCCUCGCGUGGCUGAAAGAGGUUGAGAUGCCGGGGGAUCUGGAGAUGUGCACCGUCCUGUACACCGGCCCGCCAAUCUCCGACAGGUGA
rnacentral:rRNA from 1 species